UCGUCUUUUCACCCUUCUGAUAGGCAUACCGCGUUUCGUGUUUCUCUCCUCUCAAACCAUAUUCCCUGACCAGACACCUCUCCGGACUCCGGCUAUCCCUCCGUCAUCGCCGAACGGCCCGAACCCGGAAGCCAACGCCGUCGUCGCCGUCCCUUCCUUUUUGACCCUUCUGAUUUUUAUAUGGGCGUUUUGCCUUUUUCCUCUCCCUYCGUCUCUUUCUCGUCUGAAGCAAACCCUGCUCUCUCGCUCGUCCCUUCCUCUCGCUCCGUCAGCCCAUCUCUCCUUCUCUUUCUAAACCCUAGCAUAGCGUCGUUCCUUCUCUUUCUAAACCUUCUUGCUAUCUUGGCCGGAGCGUGCUGCCUUCCUAGUGUUGCCGCGAGAGGGGUGUUUGAUUGGUCCAAGUCUAACAAUUUUUUCUUUUUUGUAUUCCCAUUUUGUGAUUCAGGUCUCACAGUUUUAUUUCUCUAUUUUUGCAGAGUCUCCACAGUUGAAGGAGGUUUUCCUUCGUGCUCUCUCUCUGCCCCCCCUCUUGUCUUUGUCUUAGGCGGCAGCGGACGGCAUUUCCAGCACCAUGUUUUCUAUUGAGUUAUGGAUAUUCGAAAGGUUCUUUAUUGCAAUAAGCCUUGUCUAACUUUGAACAGUUGYAUUAGUACCUGAACAUACUUCAGUAUAUCCUAACAACUGUUUAAAAGUGAUUUUCCUUUAGAACUUGUCUCAGCCAAUGGUGGAAACCUUUAUGCCUUUAUGUGGCUGUAGGCAGGAUGAUGCCUAAGAUUUCCACUUGUAGUGGACAGAGAUGAAAGUCUCUGCUCUCUUAACCUCUGCAGGCAUUAAUAUAGGCCUGUGUGUGCUGCUUUUGUCAUUGUAUUCUGUCCUGAGAAAACAACCAGCAAAUGUUAGUGUCUACUUUGGCCAGAAGCUUGCUCGAGAAAACAUAAAACGCAAUGAAUUUAUAUGCUUAAAGAGGUUAGUUCCUUCCCCUAGCUGGAUUUUGAAAGCCUUGGAAACAUCUGAAGAUGAAAUCUUGGAAAUUGGUGGCUUGGAUGCUGUGGUUUUCCUCAGAAUACUUGUUUUCAGGUGAUUAACAKCUCACUUCCUGAAAAUUCUAUCCAGUAAAGUUGAUAGAUAUGAAUUUGUUCCCCUCGUGACCAACAUAUGAAUUUCAUGUUACUGGUGGUACUAUUCUUUGGGUGUUGACUGGGAAGAUAUAUGAUACCCAGUUGCCUGUACAUGCCUAGCGGGUGUUGGACACAUACUGGAUUCUGCAUGAACACUUCUAUAUGUACUCUAUAGCAUGAAUGCUUUUAAAAUAUGUAAAAUGAUGGUACCUUUUAAUAAAACAUACUGUAAAAAWUCUGUACAUGUUAGAAAUUUAACUAAACUUGGCAAGACUUAAAUUUUGAGAAAUGGCAUUCAGAUCUAAAAUCUAGAUAUACAAGAAUGAUAUAAGCAUGGUUCACAAUUUCAAUGUCAUCUAUUAAAAAAAAUUUCAAUGCCAAUGGAGAUUUCACCAUGUGGAGUUGGAGAAACUUUGGAGAUAUUUCACUUAUUUCAUAAGAUAUUUAGAAAAUCUAAAACAUUAGGAAAGUUUUCUAGAAAUGUAGAAUUAGUGAGAAAUCUUUAGAAGAAAUAUAACUGCACAUUUAAGGCUCAAAAAACCAUAGAAAAGAACUGUAUAAGUCAAAUAGGAGAAGAUUAAGAGACCGUAAUAGGCAUCUUUCUCUUUGUCUCCCUUUUGUCAUAUGGCCAUGUUAUCUUCUUUUAAUAUAUAAAUUACUUGCUAUUUUCACUUUUGUCUUUAUUGUUACUUUAUGUUUUGAACUUUUGAUUACAUUGAGAAUACUCUUGUAGUUAUAUG